rnacentral:sRNA from 1 species
CCGUAACCAUUUGCUCAAG